CCUUCCAGAGUCGCUGGCAGGGUUCAGCCAGCUGGUCAGCGCUCCUCCAGGAUCACUUUUUGAGGACUCAGACCUUCUCCAUGCUGGAAACCCAAAAGAAAAUGACGUGACUGCUGUGCUGCUGACCCCUGGGUCCCAAACUGGGAAACAAUACCAGAAAGCAAGGAGCUAACUCCAGAGAAGGAUAUUUCUGAAGAAGAAUCGGCUCCUGGGGUGUUAAUUGUAAGAUUUUCAAAGGAAAGUUCUAGUGAAUGUGAGGAUUCUUUAGAGAGUCAGCAGGAAAACCAUGAGAAACAUUUAAUACAAGAGGCUGUCACUGAGAAAUCUUCUAGGGAGAGAAGCUACCAAUCUGAUGAAUUUAGAAGAAAUUGCACUCAGAGGUCCUUACUUGUUCAGCAGCAAGGAGAGAGACUACAUCAUUGUGAUUCAUUUAAAAAUAACUUAAAACAAAAUUCAGAUAUAAUUAGGCAUGAGAGAAUUUGUGCAGGAAAGAAACCUUGGAAAUGCAAUGAAUGCGAGAAAGCCUUCAGUUACUACUCAGCUUUUGUCUUGCAUCAGAGAAUUCACACAGGAGAAAAACCCUAUGAAUGUAACGAAUGUGGUAAAGCCUUUAGCCAGAGCAUACACCUUACUCUGCACCAGAGAAUUCAUACUGGGGAGAAACCCUAUGAAUGUCAUGAGUGUGGGAAAGCCUUCAGUCACCGCUCAGCCCUUAUUCGGCAUCAUAUAAUUCAUACUGGAGAAAAACCCUAUGAAUGCAAUGAAUGCGGGAAGGCCUUUAAUCAGAGUUCAUACCUCACUCAACAUCAGCGAAUUCAUACUGGAGAGAAACCUUAUGAGUGUAAUGAAUGUGGGAAGGCCUUCAGCCAAAGCACAUUCCUUACCCAGCAUCAGGUCAUUCACACUGGAGAGAAACCUUAUAAGUGUAACGAAUGUGGCAAAGCCUUUAGUGAUCGGUCAGGUCUUAUCCAGCACCAGAGAACUCAUACUGGGGAGCGGCCAUAUGAGUGUAACGAAUGUGGGAAAGCCUUUGGCUACUGCUCAGCCCUGACUCAGCACCAGAGGACUCACACUGGGGAGAAACCCUAUAAAUGCAAUGAUUGUGCCAAAGCCUUCAGUGACCGCUCAGCCCUUAUUCGUCAUCAGAGAACACACACUGGAGAGAAACCUUACAAAUGUAAAGAUUGUGGAAAAGCAUUCAGCCAGAGCUCAUCUCUUACAAAGCAUCAGAAAACUCACACUGGAGAAAAGCCCUACAAGUGUAAGGAAUGUGGAAAAGCCUUUAGCCAGAGUUCAUCCCUCUCUCAACAUCAGAAAACUCAUGCUGGAGUGAAAACCAAGAAAUAUGUCCAAGCUCUUAGUGAGCAUUUAACCUUUGGCCAACACAAGAGAAUUCAUACUGGAUAAAGACUAUGUAAAUGUGGUACAUUCAGAGCAUAGUUAUUGAGCAUUUACCAUACUUGCUGUGGGGGUCUACAAAGAAAUUUAAGACUGUGUUGCAAAAAAGUUAUUGACAAGUCAUUGCUGAUGUGGGAGGUAACAUGAUUAGACUGUGAAAGUAUAGUUUUACAUUUUUAAAAGUGUUCUGGCAGAGGACACUGACAUUCCCUCAGGAAAGAGGAAAAUUAUUUGUAACACCCUAACGUGUAUGUAAAUUGCCAUAUCCUUGGGAGAGAAAUGGGGUGUGCCAUGGUGGAAACGGGACAUCUUGACUGUGCCAGGUAUUUUCAUAAUACUAACAAUAUAAGUUUUAAAGAGAUAAGUUAUCCUUUUAGGGAAGUUGCAUGGGUAGAAAAAAGAGAUCGAGAAUUCACAAUGAGUUUGUCCAGAGUCAGGAGUGGUGGUGGAAGGGAAGUUGUCCUUCAUUCUUAAGUUUAAGGAGCCAAAGGAAGUAGAGGGAAAGGAUAGAAAAAAAGAGCUAGGGGAAUGAACCCAAGAAAUGUUGAUUAUGAGAACUACUCAACUGAAUAUUCACAACCAUGAGAAAUAUAGACUUGCUAGUUGGUCAGUUGAAAAGUUUCUGUGAGGGUAGCCUUACCCUGCAACUAAGGAAUGUUGGCUGCAGGGUAAUGCAGGGUGUUUGCUUUUGGACUUUUUGUCUUUUAGACCUUGCUUAUUGAGACAUUGCCUACUAAAUCAUGUUAAUUCCAAGGGUCAAGAACAACAGCUUAGAAAAUUGAGUACAGAAGAGACCUUUGAUGUGUUCAAACUGUUUUAAGUUAUCUGAGUUACCUGAGAAUGUGCUUAUUUACAAAGAUUUACCUCAGUUGUAUCUAGUUUGUACCUUAGAUUUUUUUAUAGCUUAUAGUAAAGUUUAGUUGUAGAUUUGCACUGACACUGCAUAUUAGAUUAUGAAAAACUUGAAAAGAUUUUGAAAUACCUUUUACCAUUUUACUCUUGGGUAGAGGCAGGUGGCAUCUUUUUAUAUUUUUUUCAUUGAAACUUUGAAGAUUAUUGGACAUAUUAUUUUGAGUGCAGUGUUUUUAAUUUUAGGAAGUUAUACUAUGAUGUAUCUUGGUGUGAAUUUCUUUUAGUUUACCCUGUUUGGGGUUUGCUUAGCUCUUCAAUCUGUAGGUUUAUGUCUUUUGCCAAAUUUGGGAGAUUUUCAGCCCUCAUCUCUUUAAAUACAUUUUAGCCCCCACCUUCUACUCCUUUUCUUCUGGGACUCUAAUGAAAGAAAUGUUAGCUCUUUGGUUGUAGUCUCACAAGUUCCUGAGGCUCUGUUCAUUUUUUCUUGAGGAUUUUUGUCUGAAUCUGCUCAAUCUGCCAUAACAAGAUAGCAUAGACUGACUGAGUGGCUCAAAAAAAUAUGUAUUUCUAACAGUUCUGGAGGCUGGGACGUCCAAGAUCAAGGUGCCUGCUGACUCUGCUUCUAGUGAGGGCUUUCCUCCUGGCUUACAGAUAGCUGCCUUCUCACUGUGUCUUCUCAUGUCUGUAGUGCAUGCAGAUGGGGGGCCAGUUGGGAAAGGGAGAGAGAAAUAGCUCCCUCUUCUUAUCAGUCCACCAGUUCUAGCAGAUUAGGACUCUGCCCUUAUUACCUCAUUUAACCCUAAUUACCCCCCUGAAAACCCUGUCUCCACAUGAAUUCACAUUGGGGAUUAGGACUUCAACAAAAUUUUGGGGAAGAGGGGAUACGUUUAGUCCAUAAGAUUCCACCCCAGCCCCCCACCGAAUUUAUGUCCUUCUGUGCAGAAUACGUUUAUUCCAUUCCAACAGCCCCCAAAGCCCUAACUCAUUCUAGCAUUAGCUCUAAAGUCCAGACCUUCAGGUAAAUAUCACCUAAAUCAGAUAUGGCUAAGACUCAAGAUACAAUUCAUCCUGAGGCAAAAUUACUCUGCAGCUGUGAACCUGUGAAACCAAACAAGUUAUGUGCUUCCAAAAUACAUUUGUGAUCUGGACAUAAUGUAGGCAUUCCCAUUCCACAGGGGGAGAAAUAGGAAAGUAGGAGGAGGGAUGCAUCCUGAGCAAGUCUAAAACUUAGCAAGGCAAAUUCCAUUAGGCCUUCGUUUCGUCAGAUCUUGUGAGAAUAACCCUCUUUUGCUCAAUGCUCUGCCUUCCAGAUCCACUGGGGUAGUGGUCCUAUCUCUGUGGUACUGCCAGGUAGCCCCUCUCCUAAGCCUCUGCAGGACAAUUCUGCCCCUAAGUCUUCAGUUGGAGGCUUUCUGUUCUGUUGAGACCAGGGUGAUGGUUCCACCCUUUGAAACAGGAGGCAUCCCCAAUGGUCUCUGAAUUGCUUUCAGGAUCAUUCUCUUUUCUUGAAGGAUAACACAUAUUCAUAGACAAAUGGCUCUCUAGUCUGGUUCUGUAGGAUCUAAGAAGUCCUAAAGCCUGCCUUCAUUUUAUUUUGUUGUUUUUCUGUCCCCUUUAGUGCCAGGUGGCUGUGUUUCUGCUGUUAUAAUCCCAUUUAUAUUCCUGGC
rnacentral:lncRNA from 1 species